AUCCCAUGAUGAGGAUACUCGAGUAUGUAAUUUUGAAAGUGCUCCCAAGCUUCUGGGACUGUCUCAUCAUGUUAUUGUUCAAAGCUCGACAUCUUUCCACGUAGAGCAU
rnacentral:snoRNA from 1 species